GUAGGGAAUAUUGCGCAAUGGACGAAAGUCUGACGCAGCGACGCCGCGUGAGUGAUGAAGGCCUUAGGGUCGUAAAGCUCUGUUGAAUGGGAAGAAAAAAAUGACGGUACCAUUCGAGGAAGGACCGGCUAACUUCGUGCCAGCAGCCGCGGUAAUACGAGGGGUCCUAGCGUUGUUCGGAAUCAUUGGGCGUAAAGGGUGUGUAGGUGGCCAGGUAAGUCAGGUGUGAAAGCCCCGGGCUCAACCCGGGAAGUGCACUUGAUACUGCGUGGCUUGAGUACCGAAGAGGGUAGUGGAAUUCCAGGUGUAGUGGUGAAAUACGUAGAUAUCUGGAGGAACACCGGUGGCGAAGGCGGCUACCUGGUCGAGUACUGACACUGAGACACGAAAGCAUGGGGAUCAAACAGGAUUAGAUACCCCAGUAGUCC
rnacentral:rRNA from 1 species